rnacentral:antisense_RNA from 1 species
GGACUGGCUGCUCAGACUCCACAAUUUAAUGAAAAAUCUCAGAUGAUGACUCAGAAAACCUCUAAUGAUCUGAGGAAUAUAUUAAGGGAUUCCAGAGUCAAAGGCUGAUCAUGGAGGGCAUUGAUGAGGGAAGACUUCAGCACGUUUUUCAGCACCAGGACAAGCAUCAUUGCUCAAGGAGAGCUUGGUUGACAACAGGAAGUUAGAAGGAGUCUGAAUUGUAACAAGUGUGGCAAGAGCACCAAGAUCACUCUGUGUGUGUUCACAGAAAAUGUACCAAAGGUAUUGCAGAUGCAGCAGUGAACAAAUCAAACUAAAAUUUCAGCCUGUACUUCUUAGCAUCUUAUUGUGAUACAUCUGGGAGUCUUUUAUGCCCUGCAAGCCCUUUGACAACAGGGACCUGUCUUAUCCCAUCCUCACUGGAACCACACCUUCUACCCAUUGAAUUCCCAAGUAAUGAUUUCAGAACUCAACUGAUUAAAGAUGACUAUAUUUAUUA